UAAUACAGAGUUACCACCCUAAAUGCGCCCGAUCUCAUCUGAUCUCGGAAGCUAAGCAGAGUCCGGCCUGCUUAGUACUUGGAUGGGAGACCAAAUUAACCAUUCACAGAAACCUUUACUGG
rnacentral:rRNA from 1 species